rnacentral:tRNA from 1 species
ACCUGGGUGGCUUAGUCGGUUAAGCAUCUGACUUCUGCUCAGGUCUUGAUCUCGUGGUUUGUGAGUUUGAGUCCCAUGUCGGGCU